AGGCUGGGGUUUCUUUAAAUUGACCCUGAGCUAAGGUCAAUUCCCAGGAGUUUUUCCAGGGUUUUGAAUGUGCAGUGACUCAUGUGAACAUUCUAGCAGCAGUUUGAUGAUCAUGUACGACAUCUAAAAACAAAC